rnacentral:lncRNA from 1 species
CUUCAUAUUUUCGUUGAUCCAAUGUUGGGGAUGGAGACAUUAAUGGAUGGAUCCAAAAUACGCAAAUAAUUAAGAAAGAAACAAAAAAAGGUUAUAAAUUAAAAUUGGACUUCUAAAAAGCCCAUUAAAGGCCCAUAUCAAAAUUAAUCUCAAAUAGAAUCCGGGUUACCCGCCUACACAGCCCAGAACCAAACCCAUAUAAAAAACACUAUCCUUGGCUCUAGGGUUUCGAAGUCCCCUUGCAUUCUAUCAAAAGAAGAGAGCUUCCAUCGUCUCUGCAGCAAAAAACAAAAGGGGCUUACAUUUUAGCAACCAUGGUAAUGCCCUUGUCUCCCCGUGUUUUCUCUUUUCAAUAUCUAGAAUUUGAGGUACUGACUGUUUUGAUGCUGUCUUUCACUCUUUUCAGAUUAUCCCAGAGAAGAACAGAAGAGAGAUCUCCAAGUACCUCUUUCAAGGUAAUUUUGUUUUUAUUACCUUUUUUGUUUGCUUUUUAUGAUUUAGAUCCAAUUUUAGUCACCAAGAAAGAAACCCAUGAAAGAUAUUUUGUUAUUUUUCAGGUUUUUGGAUGUCUAGCUCUAGUUGUGGCUUUAGACAACUAGGGUUACAAAUAGUUUCAGUCAGUUUCUUACAGUUUGUGUGAAUUACAAAAAUGAUUUGUGGAUGCAUCUUGUGUGCGUGUGCGUGUGUAUUGGGCUUUUUGGUAAAGCUUGAAGUGAAAACAUUGAGCUCUGCAAUGGUUCUAAAAUGGAUGACAACUUGAUUAAAAAAUAUAAGAUGGACUCUUUUUUUGGGAGUGCUUGUUGUAGGGUACAUCUUGUUUAGUCUUUUGUUCUCCCUGGUCUUAUAGCAUUGACAGUUUAACUAAAACGCAACCAGUAUCUCAUCCUUAAGCUAAUUCUCUCUUUUAGGGUUGAAGGUUUUAAUGGUUUUUGCUAGAGCUUGUGUUAGUGACGUCAAACCAUUGAAAUGGAAAGACAAGUAGAAGCAUUUUGAUCUGUUCCAUGGAGGAUAUAAAAUACACCCCAGCCACUAGUGAUCUGCUGAAAUUAGGGGAAUUUUACUAGAGGGAUUGUUGUUCUGGUUAAGUGAAAACUGCAGCUUUGUUUCUUGCUGUUUUGGUUUUUGUUUGCAAUAGCUGGAAUAUAAAAUUAGACUCUGCUGAGUAUCUUUGUCAAUUUUAUUUGUUGCACCUUUAACUGUUAUGUUUAUUUUGGACAUAAUCAGUUAAUUUGAAUAAUGAAGUUUUCUUAUUUUUUCUAGUUAACUUAAUGGGACCUAAUGAGGUUUAUCUUAACCACAUAUUGUAUGAUAUACCUGCAUGCACUUACCUUGAUUUUCUCUUGAAUCUAUAGAGGGAGUUUGCUAUGCGAAAAAAGAUUUCAACCUUGCAAAGCACCCAGAGAUUGAUGUUCCCAAUCUCCAGGUUAUUAAGCUCAUGCAGAGCUUCAAAUCUAAGGAAUAUGUUCGUGAGACAUUUGCAUGGAUGUACUACUACUGGUAUCUUACCAAUGAUGGGAUUGAGUUUUUGAGGACUUACCUGAAUCUUCCAUCAGAAAUUGUUCCUGCUACCUUGAAGAAACAGGCAAAGCCUGCUGGUGGUCGCCCAUUUGGAGGCCCACCUGGUGACCGUCCCCGGUAAUUUAGACUAUUCUGAAAAUUUACUGAUUGGAGUGUUCUUCUCACCCUUCAUUUUUUCUGAAUAUACUAAUUGAAAUGUGGUGUUUUUUUGGGUUUCUAGAG